rnacentral:tRNA from 1 species
GUGCCUGUAGCUCAGAUGGAUAGAGUGGCAGCCUCCGAAGCUGUAGGUCUUGGGUUCGAAUCCCAACAGGCACG